AAUGAACGUUGGCGGCGUGGAUUAGGCAUGCAAGUCGAGCGCGAUGAGUUUGGUAGCUUGCUAUUGAACUCGGAAAGCGGCGAAAGGGAGAGUAACGCGUAGUUACGUGCCCCAGGGUUCGGAACAGCCACGGGAAACUGUGGGUAAUGCCGAAUAACAUCUCCGGAUCAAAGGUGUGAUUCCGCCCUGGGAGCGGACUGCGUCCUACUAGCUAGUUGGCGGGGUAAUGGCCCACCAAGGCAACAAUGGGUAGCGGGUGUGAGAGCAUGACCCGUCGCACUUGGACUGAGACACUGCCCAGACACCGACGGGUGGCUGCAGUCGAGAAUCUUCGGCAAUGGGCGAAAGCCUGACCGAGCGACGCCGCGUGCGGGAUGAAGGCCCUCGGGUUGUAAACCGCUGUCGUAGGGGAGGAAGGCUCUGUGAAGAACAGGGUUUGACCUAUCCUAGGAGGAAGUACGGGCUAAGUUCGUGCCAGCAGCCGCCGUAA
rnacentral:rRNA from 1 species